rfam:Picea glauca, whole genome shotgun sequence.
UCUUAUGUACAUGUCUAUAACAUUAAUUCACUAGAUCCCAUUAGAACUAUGUAGUUAAGCAUGCUUGGAUUAGAGUAGUAUUGGGAUGGGUGACCUCCCAAGAAGUCCUAGUGUUUUACAUGCC